rnacentral:rRNA from 3 species
CAACAGGGAUUGCCCUAGUAACGGCGAGUGAAGCGGCAACAGCUCAAAUUUGAAAUCUGGCUCUCGGGCCCGAGUUGUAAUUUGUAGAGGAUACUUUUGAUGCGGUGCCUUCCGAGUUCCCUGGAACGGGACGCCAUAGAGGGUGAGAGCCCCGUCUGGUUGGAUGCCAAAUCUCUGUAAAGUUCCUUCGACGAGUCGAGUAGUUUGGGAAUGCUGCUCUAAAUGGGAGGUAUAUGUCUUCUAAAGCUAAAUACCGGCCAGAGACCGAUAGCGCACAAGUAGAGUGAUCGAAAGAUGAAAAGCACUUUGAAAAGAGAGUUAAAAAGUACGUGAAAUUGUUGAAAGGGAAGCGUUUAUGACCAGACUUGGGCUUGGUUGAUCAUCUGGGGUUCUCCCCAGUGCACUCUUCCAGUCCAGGCCAGCAUCAGUUUUCCCCGGGGGAUAAAGACUUCGGGAAUGUGGCUCUCUUCGGGGAGUGUUAUAGCCCGUUGUGUAAUACCCUGGGGGGGACUGAGGUUCGCGCAUCUGCAAGGAU